AUUGAACGCUGGCGGCGUGCCUAACACAUGCAAGUCGAGCGGCAGCGCGGGGGCAACCCUGGCGGCGAGCGGCGGACGGGUGAGCAAUAUUUGGGAAUCUGCCUAUUAGUGGGGGACAACCCGGGGAAACUCGGGCUAAUACCGCAUACGCACUACGGUGGAAAGCCGGGGACCGCAAGGCCUGGCGCUAAUAGAUGAGCCCAAAUCGGAUUAGCUAGUUGGUGAGGUAAUGGCCCACCAAGGCUACGAUCCGUAGCUGGUCUGAGAGGACGACCAGCCACGCCGGAACUGAGACACGGUCCGGACUCCUACGGGAGGCAGCAGUGGGGAAUAUUGGACAAUGGGCGAAAGCCUGAUCCAGCGACGCCGCGUGGGUGAAGAAGGCCUGCGGGUUGUAAAGCCCUUUCGGUGGGGAAGAAAAGCCUCGACCUAACACGUCGGGGUCUUGACGUAACCCAUAAAAGAAGCACCGGCUAACUCUGUGCCAGCCGCCGCAGUAACAC
rnacentral:rRNA from 1 species